GGCGGCGUGGCCAAGCGGUUAAGGCGGAGGAUUGCAACUCCUCUAUCCCAUGUUCGACUCAUGGCGUCGCCUCCA
rnacentral:tRNA from 1 species